AUGGAAGCCAUGGAGAAGAAAAACUGCACUGCCAACUGCUUCAACACCAUUCCAAAGACAAUUUUUAGUACUGGAGGAGAGAAGAGUGCUUUUCAUUAGGCAGACUUUCCUGAAUUGAUGCUGAGAGGGAUGCAGCAAUUUUGGUGGUCAGUUCUGGUGGCAAUUCCGAAUGAUGUGCUGUCGCGAUGGUACAUUCAACUCAACCUGGCCCCUCUAUGUUGCUGAGAAGCACUCCAAAAGCACACACUCUCAUUAUUUCACUCCACACAACUGUGAAGGAGAACUUCCUCGCCCUAUGAAGAAUGAAAGGAAGAAGCCAGGGACACAAUGAGUGGGAAAGUAAAGGAAGAAAGAAGAUGGAAGGAGAAGGGAGGGAGGCUCAAGAGAGGGAGUCAAAGAAUAAAGAUUGCCUCCUAACUGUGAUAAAUGUGAUCUUCAGUAUCAUCAACAUUAAGCCUUCGAACAAAAAAAAUUAUGUUCCUAAAACCCACGGCAGCCUGGAAACAGGAGUUACGCAGAGCUGGAAACCUUGGCAGAGGAAAAAGCCUUCAGUUGAGCCAGACUCUACAGGGCGAGGCAGACAUUUUUUUUUUUUCCUCCUUGUUUUUGUUGCUUUUCACAUUUGGCUUUCUUGUGUUGCUUUCAGACCAUCCAUCUAUGUUUGCAUAAAAGGGUCAGGGCUACAUAGCAUGGAAAAAUGUAGCUUUCUCUGCUUGUUUAUAGGCCCAGGCCUUUUAAGGCACAGAUGCCUGAAGAUCUCCAUCCUUACCUGGAAGUGGCAAAAGGCAAUGAUAGUGGAAUCAAGCCAGCCUCCCAGAGUGUCCAAACCUUAUUUAAAGCUAUUUUGGAGCCAAGGACAUUUCCCUGAAUCUGUUCCAAACUAGAAUGAAGAUGCUGGUGAAUGAUAUUUUUGCAAAAUCUGCCGGCUCAGGAAUUGACAGUCUUGACAUUUACGUCAAAUAUGAAGAACCAUUUACGAAUCCUUGUUGCAGAAGGCUGCUGUCAGCAAGCCAAAAAUAUAGCAUAAAGAAUAAUAAUAAAACAAAGCUGGCACAAAACCUUGUUUCCUCCUGAAAAGGCCAAUUUUUAGUUUGAUGGCAGUGACUCUUAGAACCCAAAAGGAAAACAAAUUUCUACCCACACGGUCUGUGCUGCUCUUCUCUUCAUGUUAAUUUUAUCUCACAUCUCAAAUACAUAGUGUUUUUUUCCUAUUGAAACUGAAAGGUGUUCUUCCUAUUGAAACUGAACGGUGUUCAUUCUAAAAAUAAGUUGUCUGUAUUUAAUUCCAUAAAUGGUUUCUUCCUGGUGAGUGCUAUUUUUCAAGAAUGUUGCUUGACUGAAGUUAUAAUAAUGACUUAGAUACAGUCUCUUGAAAAAUUCUUUUGAGAUACAGAGUCUUCAUGAUGUGGAAACUGCCCAUUAGCUUUGUUCACAUACAUAAUAAAAUAUUUCCAUGAAGUUAAUAAUCAUCAAACUUCUUUGCUUCAUGCUGUUUGACAGCUAGAAAUUCCUUUUCUACCCCCAGUCAACCCACAGUAGGCACUUCCUGAAACUCAGUAUUUCUGACACUCACUUCACCCUUCUUCAUUCACAAAACACCUAGUGUAGCUAAUGGGACCACCAUCCUUG
rnacentral:lncRNA from 10 species